CAGAUCUUGCUUUCUUCUUUUUCCCCGUCCCACCCUCACAACCUGCGCCAGACCAGCGGCUCGAAGGAACCGCCGCCACCGCGGUCUUCCUGGGCACGCCGUAGUAGCUGCGAUUGACCACCAGCCUUCCAGAUCCGAGGACCACCGCUGCCGAGGUUGAUCGCCGGCCUCUCGAUCCGAGGAAUCCCCCGCUCCUAGGCUGGGGCGCCCACACCAUGACGACGGAUUCCGCUGUGCGCGACGCAGCAGAAACGAUCUGGCAACGUUGAUCUAGGUCCGGACAGAUCCAGUCUACCAUUACUAACACCUACGACGUACUAUGGUUGUUGUGGUGCUCCAUCAGCAAUGGAACCCGAGUCCCUCUACUCCGAGGAGAGAUGGACCGAAAGAUUUGGCUUUGCAGGGACCAACAUCUACACUGAGAUUCUCAAGCACGCCACUCCUGUAGACAGAUGAAACACGUAGAAGCUUAUUUUGGUUUGGCAUGGUCCUGCCCUUGACGGCGUCGUCCGCCGCCGCCCCGCAUACUCAUCCCACAGGCUCGCUGCCUCCGCCUGCGAACACUGGGUCCUUGCACGCUCGACGCCGCCGACAUGAACACCAGCUCUCUGAAGCUGUUACCUGGAGCUAAAGGGGAUCGGGGUCUAGAAAGACCCCGAAGAAGCUGCAUUAACUCGGUGGGUACAUUUUACAGUACAGGCCCUGAAAGAAAGAAGCUUGAAAGCAGGCCAGGAAAUUUACACAGAGGACCCUAAAAAGAAAAUUGCAAACGCCAUCCAGUCCCAGAAGAUCCUCUUCUCCACCGCUGCUUGAAUCCCGUCGCCGGCCGGCCUUUUCGCGUCGGGGACAUACCACUUGACGCAGGUAGAACGGGGAACUCCGGCCGGAACUCAACUUGAAAGGCCUCCUUGACGGCACACCGGCCUGGAGGUUGAUGGAGGAGCUGCGCCACACGCAGCAUCCCAGCGCGGAGUGGCCGCAUCGGCCUAGAGUAACAGCGGCGCCAAAUUGCCGCCGUUUAGAAGCUCCGCAGGUUGCAGCCAACAAGAUCCCCGGCCAUCCAGCUCGAGAAAGAAUACACAUCCGCCACCAUCCUUGCCAUCCACCUCCUCGGUGGCCUGAAGAAGACGGCUGCAGACACACAUCUUCUCGAUCUGAAUCACCACCAAAUACGAGCUUAUUGGAGGAGAUCCCAGCGCCGCCGCCACGCUCCGCCUCCGGCUCUGUCCUCCAGAGUGCCACAAAGGAAGCGACGAACACCAGGAGUCGCUGGAACUGGCUCGCGCAAACCAGCGACUCACUCCAGUCGAGCACAAGGCCCAAACUCCAUAAAGGUAGCCCUAAACUAGAACCUAGCCUACUAUUUACAGAGGAGCCAGACCACCUAAACCUUCUCUUCGCCGGCCAGCAUCGCCGCCGGAGAGAGGAGGCCAGGGAGGAGGAGGAAGCGACUCUCAACUAGGGCGAUAAGGGAGAGGAGACAGGGUGAACUGAUCGAGUCCGGUGAAACAGACUGAUGUAGCUAAAUCUCCCCAUCCUUCUAAGUUCCCUCACUUUCUUUUAUAUGCGAUGAUUGUUUAGGGUGUUUGAACGUCUUGCAAUUGGUUUUUCUCAUUAGUUGUAACAUAAAACUGAAUCCUUUCCCUAGGAUUUUUUUUGACGGAUUCCCUGAAUUUGGAUAUAAGUAAAACUUGAAAUGUACUUCUCUCGGUAGCUAAAUAUUGUUAGUUUUACGUGUGCUAAUUACAACUUCGUCGCUUUCCCAAUUGGUACACAGAGGCAUUGCCCUUAGAUACACGUUAUUUUUUGGCUUUCUUAAUUUUUUGAUGGACUAUUAUACAAUUGUUUAUAGAGUCAUGGAAGAAAACAAAAAUCUUUAGUUCUUAAUGGUCACUUAUUUUGCGCUGCCAGUAGUUCUUGCAUGUGAAGUUGGGGAUUUUGUCAUUUUGUUAGUGUAAGCAGGAAACACUGCUAACGGGAGCCCGUGUUAGAAAUUGCGCAAGUGAUUCAGUUCCAUAAUGUUGGUUCAUAAAUUUACCUCAAGUUCUUUUUCAGCUUGUCAUGCUAUGAUAACCUCUUUAAAAAGUAGUUACAUGACGAUGCCAUCCCUCUACUUCAGUUCAGUUUGUUUGUGUAGAUAUGAACUAUUUAUUUUGAUACAGUAAAUCUCUUCCCGCAUCCAGGCCAGGAUUUGAGCAGCGGUCUAGAAGAUGGAGCUCACCAACCACUCUCUGCAGUAUGAAGUUGCUAAGUCAGUUGGUUGUUGCUGAGUUAUAAAAUUAUCUUCUCAUAUUGGUGUUGGAUCUGUUCCUGGUUUUCCUUGGUCAGACUCUUGGCAUUCAAAGGAAUUUGUAAUAUUGUGUUGAUGAUGUCAUGUGAAAUAAUCACACCUCGAGACCAAAUAGAAGUGGUAGAUCUAUUUUUGGA